UGACGAUGAAGGUCACCUGAUGCUGGAUCUGCUCCCCACAUCGAUUGUUGUCUGCAAGCAACAUUAUCAAUAACCAACUCCGACUGAAGAGCUGACCAGACGUGAAGGCUAAACAGAAAGAGGAGAGGGAGAUACUUGAAUGGCAGGGGCGCGUAUGUUCUAUAUGUUACAACAGCCCAGACUCCCACAGGAAUACAGUCACGGCAACAAAGGUGACUGCAGCGAUGCUGAAGAGGGACCAGGGUGAAGCAGGUGGAAGGAAGGGGAGCUUGCACUACGUUUUCAAAUGAAUGAAUAGCCCCAGAGUUUGCGUAAUUAAAAAUAACAACAAGGUACAACAAAGCUCUUUACUGCUGUGUGAUUCGGACUAGAUUGAGGAGCAGGAAGUUGCUUUAUCUCAAAAAUGAUGUG